rnacentral:misc_RNA from 1 species
UAUGAAUCGUGUAUGGUGUG